GACGAACCGUCCAAACGUUAUUCGGAAUCACUGGGCUUAAAGGGCGCGUAGGCGGCCGAGCGGGUCGCGGGUGAAAUCCUCCAGCUUAACUGGAGAACUGCCCUCGAUACCACUGCGGCUCGAGGAAGGAAGGGGCAAUCGGAACUGUCGGUGGAGCGGUGAAAUGCGUUGAUAUCGACAGGAACGCCGGUGGCGAAAGCGGAUUGCUGGUCCUUUUCUGACGCUGAGGCGCGAAAGCGUGGGGAGCAAACAGG
rnacentral:rRNA from 1 species